ensembl:lncRNA
GGGUGGAAGAGGGGCAGGGGAGGUAAAGGAGCAGGGAGAUGGGCAGGGGAGGUAAAGGACCAGGAGGAGGGCAGGGGACAUAAAGGAGCAGGAGGGUGGCAGGGGAGGUAAAGGAGCAGGAGGAGGGCAGGGGACGUAAAGGAGCAAGAGCAGGGUAGGGGACGUAAAGGAGCAGGAGGAUGGCAGGGGACGUAAAGGAGCAAGAGCAGGGCAGAGGACGUAAAGGAGCAGGGCAGGGGACGUAAAGGAGCAAGAGCAGGGCAGGGGAUGUAAAGGAGCAGGAGGAGGGCAGGGGACGUAAAGGAGCAGGAGGAUGGCAGGGGACGUAAAGGAGCAGGAUGAUGGCAGGGGACGUAAAGGAGCAGGAGGAUGGCAGGGGACGUAAAGGAGCAGGAGGAGGGCAAGGGACGUAAAGGAGCAGGAGGAGGGCAGGGGAGGUAAAGGAGCAGGAGCAGGGCAGGGGACGUAAAGGAGCAGGAGGAGGGCAGGGGACUUAAAGGAGCAGGAGGACGGCAGGGGAUUUAAAGGAGCAAGAGCAUGGCAGGGGACGUAAAGGAGCAGGAGGAGGGCAGGGGACGUAAAGGAGCAGGAGCAGGGCAGGGGACGUAAAAGAGCAGGAGGAGGACAGUGGACGUAAAGGAGCAGGAGGAGGGCAGGGGAAGUAGAGGAGCAGGAGCAGAGCAGGGGAGGUAAAGGACCAGGAGGAGGGCAGGGGACGUAAAGGAGCAGGAGCAGGGCAGGGGACGUAAAGGAGCAGGGAGAUGGGCAGGGGAGGUAAAGGAGCAGGGAGAUGGGCAGGGGAGGUAAAGGAGCAGGGAGAUGGCAGGGGAGGUAAAGGACCAGGAGCAGAGCAGGGGAGGUAAAGAAGCAGGAGGAGGGCAGGGGACGUAAAGGAGCAGGAGGAGGGCAGGGGACGUAAAGGAGCAGGAGGAGGGCAGGGGACGUAAAGGAGCAGGAGGAGGGCAGGGGACGUAAAGGAGCAAGAGCAGGGUAGGGGACGUAAAGGAGCAGGAGGAUGGCAGGGGACUUAAAGGAGCAAGAGCAGGGCAGGGGACGUAAAGGAGCAAGAGCAGGGCAGGGGACGUAAAGGAGCAGGAGGAUGGCAGGGGACUUGAAGGAGCAGGAGGAGGGCAGGGGACGUAAAGGAGCAGGAGGAGG